UACGGAGGGGGGCUAGCGUUGUUCGGAAUUACUGGGCGUAAAGCGCACGUAGGCGGCUUUGUAAGUUAGAGGUGAAAGCCCAGGGCUUAACCCUGGAAUUGCCUUUAAGACUGCAUCGCUAGAAUUGUGGAGAGGUAAGUGGAAUUCCGAGUGUAGAGGUGAAAUUCGUAGAUAUUGGGGAAGAACACCGAUGGCGAAGGCAGCCAUCUGGACCGACACUGACGCUGAGGCGCGAAAGCGUGGGGGAGCAAACAGG
rnacentral:rRNA from 1 species